CUUUGUUGACCCAUCCAUUCACCCCGAACUCCUCCCUACACGGAUUUUGUCGCUCUGUAACAACAUCACUUGACUUCCUCCUUUACUUUCUGGCCGCAGGAGUCACUUGGAUGUGUCGAGAUGUCGUUUUGGGGCUGUUUGCUGAAACGACAUGCUGUCGUACUUCUUCGGAGGCCAGUCUUGAAAAUUAUCCAUGAACCACACGAGAUGCAGGAGACGCUCUCGAGGGCUGGCGAUGAUUUUGGGGAAAAUAUCAUGUCUGACAGGUUUAGCCCUGUGAACAUAGACGGCUCCUUGGCUUCUUUCAUAAACAAGCUAUUGAAGAGAUUCAUGACUAUAUCUCUGCACAACAGCAAAGUUGGCCAGCUUCCACGCAGCUAUAAAAGGU